rnacentral:lncRNA from 1 species
CCCUUUCUCCCCCUCUGUUAAGUCCCUCCCCCUCGCCAUUCAAAAGGGCUGGCUCGGCACUGGCUCCUUGCAGUCGGCGAACUGUCUGGGCGGGAGGAGCCGUGAGCAGUAGCUGCACUCAGCUGCCCGCGCGGCAAAGAGGAAGGCAAGCCAAACAGAGUGCGCAGAGUGGCAGUGCCAGCGGCGACACAGGCAGCACAGGCAGCCCGGGCUGCCUGAAUAGCCUCAGAAACAACCUCAGCGACUCCGGCUGCUCUGCGGACUGCGAGCUGUGGCGGUAGAGCCCGCUACAGCAGUCGCAGUCUCCGUGGAGCGGGCGGAAGCCUUUUUUCUCCCUUUCGUUUACCUCUUCAUUCUACUCUAAAGGCAUCGUUAUUAG